GUGAAAAGGAAGCAAGUGUCAUGAGUGUGGCCAGUAGAGAAACCCCUGGGAGCCAGAUCUGCCUUCCCCAUCCUCAUGGAUGUUCCACCAUACUCGCUCCUCUUGAUGCCAGCCUGCCAUGCUGGGGUCAGCACUACACCAUGCCUGGCUUCCCCUGGAAAAGGUCACGCAAGUAACUGACUGAGCUGGGGGAGAUGCACUGUUCCUUCUCAGGACUUCCCAGCUCACAACCUCACAGUGAAAGGCAUCCAUGGGGGCAGGAGGAACAUCAUCCUCGAAGCUGGCAUCAGUGAACAGCAUCUUAGAGGCACUGUCCCCUGCAUAUCCCAUAUGUCCCCACAGGCAGAUGGGCACAUAGGGCACCCCCAGGGGCUCUGGGUGCCACAGGACAGCCGCAGAGUAGGAGCUCACAGGAGUUACACUAGCCAUAGACUCCAGGCUGUCUUGGGGCCUGGCCUGGAGAGAGCAAGGGCUGCCCCUAAGUCAGGGGCAGAGCCAGGCGUGGGGUGGGUGCAGGGAAGGACUGGUUGCUGG